rnacentral:lncRNA from 1 species
CAUAUGAUAAUAAGAGAUGAUAACCUUUCAUUUUACCUGCUUACUGGUAUCCUUGGGGGUCCAUAGAGAUGUCCUUUUGCUUGUGAACCCAAUAUCUAAUUUAACUAAUUAACCGGCUAUUCGUAUACCCUGUCUGGUAAUAGGCGUCAAAAAUUCCACUACCUCGAUGCCCCGUUCGGUAUGAGGGUGAGUCAUAUCUCCCAAACCUUACUCGUAAGGGACUUCCCAGCCCCGUCCAACGGAGGUAACAUUCACGGUAGAGUUCCCUAUGUACCGGGCCCGUCCGCCUUU